rnacentral:rRNA from 1 species
UACGAAGGGGGCUAGCGUUGCUCGGAAUCACUGGGCGUAAAGGGUGCGUAGGCGGGUCUUUAAGUCAGGGGUGAAAUCCUGGAGCUCAACUCCAGAACUGCCUUUGAUACUGAAGAUCUUGAGUUCGGGAGAGGUGAGUGGAACUGCGAGUGUAGAGGUGAAAUUCGUAGAUAUCGGGAGGAACACCUGUGGCGAAGGCGGCCCCCUGGUUGGAUACUGACGCUGAUACGCGAAAGCGUGGGGAGCAAACAGG